GCAAGUCGAGGGGCGAGCACGGUGUAGCAAUACACUGGUGGCGACCGGCGUACGGUGCGUAACACGUAUGCAACCUACCCGCUAUUGGGGGAUAACCCGGCGAAAGUCGGACUAAUACCCAUAUUAUUCUUACCGGGCAUCCGGUAGGUCUGAAAGAUUUAUCGAUUGCGGAUGGGCAUGCGGAUGAUUAGCUAGUAGGUGGGGUAACGGCUCACCUAGGCGACGAUCAUUAGGGGUUCUGAGAGGAAGGUCCCCCACACUGGAACUGAGACACGGUCCAGACUCCUACGGGAGGCAGCAGUGAGGAAUAUUGGUCAAUGGGCGCUAGCCUGAACCAGCCAAGUCGCGUGAAGGAUGACAAGAUCUAUGGUUUGUAAACUUCUUUUGCAGGGGAGUAAAGUGCGACACGUGUGUUGUAUUGCAAGUACCCUGCGAAUAAGCAUCGGCUAACUCCGUGCCAGCCGCAGC
rnacentral:rRNA from 1 species